rnacentral:rRNA from 1 species
AGCGAACGCUGGCGGUAGGCCUAACACAUGCAAGUCGUACGGCAGCACAGUAAGAGCUUGCUCUUACGGGUGGCGAGUGGCGUACGGGUGAGGAAUACAUCGCAAUCUACUUUUUCGUGGGGGAUAACGUAGGGAAACUUCCGCUAAUGCGGCAUACGACCUACGGGUGAAAUCAGGGGAUCUUCCGACCUUGCGCGAUUGAAUGAGCCGUUGGCUGGUUAGUUGGGUGGCGGGGUAAAGGCCCACCAAGGCGACGAUCCGUUGCUGGUGUGAGAGGCUGAUCAGCGACACUGGGACUGAGACACGGUCCAGACUCCUACGGGAGGCAGCAGUGGGGAAUAUUGGACAAUGGGCGCAAGCCUGAUCCAGCCAUACCGGGUGGGUGAAGAAGGCCUUCGGGUUGUAAAGCCCUUUUGUUGGGAAAGAAAAGCAGCAGGUUAAUCCACCGCUGUUCUGACGGUACCCACAGAAUAAGCACCGGCUAACUUCGUG